UGGCGCAUCGACGCCACGGGUUACAGUUCACAUAACAUCUUUCUCACCUACCGUUACCAAUACUCUAUUACCGACGUUGGUAACGAGGAGUUCACUUAUGGUUCUAAAUUCAGGAUUUCGCCAGUAGAAGGGGCAAACUGCAGUGUGAUCACCAAGGAAAUGUUCCCCAGAGGUCGGUUUAGCAGUCAAGAUAAAGCCAUAAUGGAUAACGGACCCCCAGUGACAGAACCACAGGGCGUGUCCGAAUGGCGAUACUGGAUGAUGACAAUCACCCAGAAGACUAUGGCCUCUUCUUCGGAUGCCGUGGAAGG